rnacentral:rRNA from 1 species
GAUGAACGCUAGCUACAGGCUUAACACAUGCAAGUCGAGGGGCAGCACAGUGUAGCAAUACAUGGGUGGCGACCGGCGCACGGGUGCGUAACGCGUAUCCAACCUUCCCGAUACUCAGGGAUAGCCUUCCGAAAGGGAGAUUAAUACCUGAUGGUGUUCAAAUUCCGCAUGUUAUUUGAACUAAAGAUUUAUCGGUAUCGGAUGGGGAUGCGUGACAUUAGAUAGUAGGCGGGGUAACGGCCCACCUAGCCUACGAUGUCUAGGGGUUCUGAGAGGAAGGUCCCCCACACUGGAACUGAGACACGGUCCAGACUCCUACGGGAGGCAGCAGUGAGGAAUAUUGGUCAAUGGUCGGAAGACUGAACCAGCCAAGUAGCGUGAAGGAUGAAGGUUCUAUGGAUUGUAAACUUCUUUUAUACGGGAAUAAAACCUCCCACGUGUGGGAGCUUGUAUGUACCGUAUGAAUAAGCAUCGGCUAACUCCGUGCCAGCCGCCGCCGUAAAAC